AAAGGGGCAUUUAAUAUUCCAACUUAAAAUUGACGGGUUUUGAAAAGUGAAUAAUUGAAACGAUGUUUUUCUCCAUUUCAGCUGAUCAAAAUUAUUAGCAAAACCAUCUGAGGCACCUUCUGGUAGAAUUGUAGUCUUGCUGGGUUUAGUUUGUAAAACAUUCUGCCAGACAUUAAAAAAAAAAAAAAAAAAAUUACCAUUUCUCAUGCGGACCCCCGCCCCCCACCCUCUGCAGAUUGAUUUACCCACGAUUCUAUUUUCUACAUCAGGGGCCCCUCCCUCCAUAUUGGGACCGUGAGUCUGUUUUCCAUUUUCAAAGAUCCUUAAUAUCAAAAAUUUUGAUAAUUUGUGAAGCAGGCUGUCAAAAGAAAUUAGACCAGUAUAGGCACGUUCAGUUAACAUUUCAUCUCUGCAUCCUCAAGACUCUGGGAAUGAAGAUGUGGAGAGAAACCAGUAAGCAAAUAGGUCCUGUCACCCUGACUCCGCUGAGUGCAUCCGAAGCCUGUCCUGCCUUUUUGCCCAUGUCCUAUUUUGACACAAAUGGUUUAUCAGCUUCAAAAAUACACAGGUUUUUUUUAAGCACCAAAUGGUGUCUUUCUCUUUCCCACUUCAGAAGAUAUUAGGAAUUAGAGUUUAAUGUUAAUUUUUUUAAAAGUAAGCAGGUUUGAAUACAUUCCACUUGCCAGUGUCUGCCCAUUCCCGGGGUGCUUUCUGUCGCACCCUCAGAAUGCUGUCAAGCUUUAGCUUUGGCGGUGCUGUCCUUCCUACCGCAGGCCACCUGGCAGACAAAUUCUAGUGAAACUCAAGCAUUCCUUAUAAUUAUAUUUUUAUUUUAAGUGUGUUUAGUAGCCUACGUUCACAGAAGAUCUUUCAUCAAGAUUUGCUUCUCUAAGGAGUUUCCAUUGUGACGUGGUGGAAACGAAUCCCACUAGUAACCGUGAGGUUGCAGCUAUGAUCCCUGCCCUUGCUCCGUGGGUUAAGGACCUGGCAUUGCUGUGUUGCUGUGGCUGUGGCGUGGGUCAGCGGCUACAGCUUCAAUUCGACCCCUGGCCUGGGAACUUCCAUAUGCC
rnacentral:lncRNA from 1 species